AGGUGCGAUCAUACCAGCACUAAUGCACCGGAUCCCAUCAGAACUCCGCAGCUAAGCGUGCUUGGGCGAGAGUAGUACUAGGAUGGGUUACCUCCUGGGAAGUCCUCGUGUUGCACUUC
rfam:Phaseolus vulgaris cultivar G19833 chromosome 6, whole genome shotgun sequence.